rnacentral:rRNA from 1 species
CCUACGGGGGGCAGCAGUGGGGAAUAUUGGGCAAUGGACGCAAGCCUGAACCAGCAACGCCGCGUGAAGGAAGAAGGCUCUCGGGUUGUUAACCUCUUUUUUCAGGGACGAAACAGGUGACGGUACUUGCUGACUAAGCCACGCCUAACUACGUGCCAGCAGCCGCGGUAAUACGUAGGUUGCAAGCGUUCUCCGGAUUUACUGGGUGUAAAGGGUGUGUAGGCGGGAGUGCAAGUCAGAUGUGAAAACUAUGGGCUCAACCCAUCGCCUGCAUUUGACACUGUACGUCUUGAGUGCUGUAGAGGUAAGCGGAAUGCCGGGUGUAGCGGUGAAAUGCGUAGAGAUACGGAGGAACACCAGUGGCGAAGGCAGAUUGCUGGACAGUAACUGACGCUGAGGCGCGAAAGCGUGGGGAGCAAACAGGAUUAGAUACCCUUGUAGUC